rnacentral:snRNA from 2 species
AUACUUACCUGGCAGGGGAGAUACCAUGAUCAUGAAGGUGGUUUUCCCAGGGCGAGGCUCACCCAUUUGCACUGUUGGGGUGUGCUGACCCCUGCGAUUUCCCCAAAUGCGGGAAACUCGAUGCAAAUUUGUGGUAGUGGGGGACUGCGUUCGCGCUCUCCCCUG